rnacentral:rRNA from 1 species
AUUGAACGCUAGCGGGAUGCUUUACACAUGCAAGUCGAACGGCAGCGCGGACUUCGGUCUGGCGGCGAGUGGCGAACGGGUGAGUAAUGUAUCGGAACGUGCCCAGUAGCGGGGGAUAACUACGCGAAAGCGUAGCUAAUACCGCAUACGCCCUACGGGGGAAAGCAGGGGAUCGUAAGACCUUGCACUAUUGGAGCGGCCGAUAUCGGAUUAGCUAGUUGGUGAGGUAACGGCUCACCAAGGCGACGAUCCGUAGCUGGUUUGAGAGGACGACCAGCCACACUGGGACUGAGACACGGCCCAGACUCCUACGGGAGGCAGCAGUGGGGAAUUUUGGACAAUGGGGGGAACCCUGAUCCAGCCAUCCCGCGUGUGCGAUGAAGGCCUUCGGGUUGUAAAGCACUUUUGGCAGGAAAGAAACGUCGCGGGCUAAUACCCCGUGGAACUGACGGUACCUGCAGAAUAAGCACCGGCUAACUACGUG